GCAAAGACAGCCAGGAGGUUUGCCUAGAAGCAGCCACCCUUUAAAGAGUGCGUAAUAGCUCACUGAUCGAGCGCCCUUGCGCUGAAGAUGAACGGGGCUAAGCGAUCUGCCGAAGCUGUGGGAUGUCAAAAUGCAUCGGUAGGGGAGCGUUCCGCCUUAGAGGGAGGCACCCGCGAAAGCGGGGGUCGACGAAGCGGAAGCGAGAAUGUCGGCUUGAGUAACGAAAACAUUGGUGAGAAUCCAAUGCCCCGAAAACCCAAGGUUUCCUCCGCAAGG
rnacentral:ncRNA from 1 species